rnacentral:rRNA from 1 species
UUGAACGCUGGCGGAAUGCUUUACACAUGCAAGUCGAGCGGCAGCGCGGGGGCAACCCUGGCGGCGAGCGGCGAACGGGUGAGUAACAUAUCGGAACGUACCCUGUCGUGGGGGAUAACACAGCGAAAGCUGUGCUAAUACCGCAUACGACCUGAGGGUGAAAGCAGGGGACCGCAAGGCCUUGCGCGGACGGAGCGGCCGAUGGCAGAUUAGGUAGUUGGUGGGAUAAAAGCUUACCAAGCCGACGAUCUGUAGCUGGUCUGAGAGGACGACCAGCCACACUGGGACUGAGACACGGCCCAGACUCCUACGGGAGGCAGCAGUGGGGAAUUUUGGACAAUGGGGGAAACCCUGAUCCAGCCAUUCCGCGUGAGUGAAGAAGGCCUUCGGGUUGUAAAGCUCUUUCGGCAGGAACGAAACGGUAAGGGCUAAUAUCCUUUGCUAAUGACGGUACCUGAAGAAGAAGCACCGGCUAACUACGU